rnacentral:rRNA from 1 species
UACGUAGGGUGCGAGCGUUGUCCGGAAUUAUUGGGCGUAAAGGGCUCGUAGGCGGUUUGUCGCGUCGGGAGUGAAAUCCACUGGCUUAACUGGUGGCUUGCUUUCGAUACGGGCAGACUGGAGGUAUGCAGGGGAGAACGGAAUUCCUGGUGUAGCGGUGAAAUGCGUAGAGAUCGUAAGGAAGACCAGUGGCGAAGGCGGGUCUCUGGACAGUUCCUGACACUGAGGCACGAAGGCCAGGGGAGCAAACGGG